GACGAACGCUGGCGGCGUGCCUAAUACAUGCAAGUAGAACGCUGAAGGAGGAGCUUGCUUCUCUGGAUGAGUUGCGAACGGGUGAGUAACGCGUAGGUAACCUGCCUGGUAGCGGGGGAUAACUAUUGGAAACGAUAGCUAAUACCGCAUAAGAGUAGAUGUUGCAUGACAUUUGCUUAAAAGGUGCAAUUGCAUCACUACCAGAUGGACCUGCGUUGUAUUAGCUAGUUGGUGAGGUAACGGCUCACCAAGGCAACGAUACAUAGCCGACCUGAGAGGGUGAUCGGCCACACUGGGACUGAGACACGGCCCAGACUCCUACGGGAGGCAGCAGUAGGGAAUCUUCGGCAAUGGACGGAAGUCUGACCGAGCAACGCCGCGUGAGUGAAGAAGGUUUUCGGAUCGUAAAGCUCUGUUGUAAGAGAAGAACGAGUGUGAGAGUGGAAAGUUCACACUGUGACGGUAUCUUACCAGAAAGGGACGGCUAACUACGUGCCAGCAGCCGCGGUAAUACGUAGGUCCCGAGCGUUGUCCGGAUUUAUUGGGCGUAAAGCGAGCGCAGGCGGUUAGAUAAGUCUGAAGUUAAAGGCUGUGGCUUAACCAUAGUACGCUUUGGAAACUGUUUAACUUGAGUGCAAGAGGGGAGAGUGGAAUUCCAUGUGUAGCGGUGAAAUGCGUAGAUAUAUGGAGGAACACCGGUGGCGAAAGCGGCUCUCUGGCUUGUAACUGACGCUGAGGCUCGAAAGCGUGGGGAGCGAACAGG
rnacentral:rRNA from 1 species